UAGUCUCGCACAGAUGCAUAUCAAUAAGCGGAGGAAAAGAAACUAACAAGGAUUCCCCUAGUAACGGCGAGUGAAGCGGGAAGAGCUCAAAUUUGAAAUCUUAAAGGGUUUCCCUUUACGAAUUGUAGUUUAAAGAAGUGUUUUCUGUUGAGGUUUUGGUAAAAGUUCUUUGGAAUAGGACAUCAUAGAGGGUGAGAAUCCCGUAUUUGACCUUUACUUUCAACUUUGUGAUACACUUUCAAAGAGUCGGAUUGUUUGGGAAUGCAGUCCAAAAUGGGUGGUAAAUUUCAUCUAAAGCUAAAUAUUGGCGAGAGACCGAUAGCGAACAAGUACCGUGAGGGAAAGAUGAGGAGAACUUUGAAAAGAGAGUUAAACAGUACGUGAAAUUGUCAAAAGGGAAGCGUUUGACACCAGUGUUGUUUUUCUGAAAAUCAAUUAAAGAACUGUUUAUGCUAAGCUGUUUAGACUUUAUCAGCUAAUCUGUUUAGUUUUGAGCUUUUCCUUAAUGCACUCUUCAGUUAACAAGUCAACAUCAAUUUCUUUUGCUGUAAAAAAGCUUGAGGAAGGUGGCUUGAGAUUCGUCUUAAGUGUUUAUAGCCUCUUGCCUAUGCAGUCGGAGAGAUUGAGGUCUGCAGCGUAGAUCCUUCGGGGCUAAAUGCAUUUGUGCUAAGUUAUAGCAUUUUAUAGACAACUUGUUGACUAUGAUUUGUCUUGUAGCUUACUCGCUUAUGUUAUUUUACCUACGCUUAGGAUGUUGAAGACUCUACAGAGAUA
rnacentral:rRNA from 1 species